rnacentral:rRNA from 1 species
UGGGGAAUAUUGCACAAUGGGCGAAAGCCUGAUGCAGCAACGCCGCGUGAGUGAUGAAGGCCUUCGGGUUGUAAAGCUCUGUCUUCUGGGACGAUAAUGACGGUACCAGAGGAGGAAGCCACGGCUAACUACGUGCCAGCAGCCGCGGUAAUACGUAGGUGGCAAGCGUUGUCCGGAUUUACUGGGCGUAAAGGAUGCGUAGGCGGAUACUUAAGUCAGAUGUGAAAAUCCCGGGCUUAACUUAGGAACUGCAUUUGAAACUGGGUAUCUAGAGUGCAGGAGAGGAAAGUGGAAUUCCUAGUGUAGCGGUGAAAUGCGUAGAGAUUAGGAAGAACACCAGUGGCGAAGGCGACUUUCUGGACCGUAACUGACGCUGAGGCAUGAAAGCGUGGGGAGCAAACA